GUGGUCUUUCUGAAGCGGUCGUUAAGGAGCUCCAUGUUGCCCUGCUCUUCUUCGAGCUCUUCCUCGAGCUGAGCGAUACGAGCCUCCAGCCUCCUCUUCUCAUCCAUCAGAGCAGUCCUUCAGCAAAAGAACAAGAAUCUCCGCCUCCAUCUCUCGGACCUGAAAGGAGGAGCCGAGUCCAUUUGAUGGGCCACUGGGUGUUUGAAGGUCAAAAGCGAACCGGACGUCGCACCUGUUUAACGAGGGCUCGCUUCUUCUCGUCGUUUUGGUCAUCACGGCUCUGAAGAUCACGCUCGUACUGAGCCUUCAUGGCCUGCAUGUUGACCUCCAGCCGCAGCUUGGCGUCCUCGGUGGCCUGCAGCUCGUCCUCCAGCUCCUCAAGUUGAGUCUUCAUCUCCUCCAGCUGCUGCUCCAGAGUGCGCUUGGAUUUCUCCAGCUCGUGAACCUGAGGAGCGCGACGGAUGUAAAGAUGGCAAAUGGAUUUUACGGGUUCGCUAAGACUUACAUUCUUGCCCACGUCGUCCUUGGAGUUCAUCAGAUCUUCCAUUUCGGCACGGAGCUGCUUGUUGACCCUCUCCAGCUCGUCUUUGGCCUCCAGGGCUUCAUCCAGCGCUCUGGUCAUGGACAGAGCUUUGGUCUCCUUCUCCCUGGCCUCAGCUUCCGCCCGGUCACGCUCUUCAGCAUAGCGAGCUGAAAUGCUCUUCUCCUCAGCCAGCAACUAGAGGAAGAACGAUAUUGAUAUUUGGACAUUAGCAAAAUCAAAAUUGGCUCCCCAGUGGACGUCUCACCUGGUCAAACUUCUUCUGUUUCUUCUCCAGGUUGGACACACUCUGCCUCUGAUGAUCCAAGUCAACGGUGAGAUCAUCCAGCUCCUGCUGCAGACGAGUUUUUGUCUUCUCCAUCUUCUCAAAAGCGAUGGUCUUCUCCUCCAGACGCUGGCCUGACAUCUCCAAAUCCUUUUGCAGCUUCUUCUUUGCCUCCUCCAGGCCGUCUAUUGUCCCCACGUCAUCCUCCAGCUUUUUCUUGCUCUCGGAGAGCUACGGGCAGAAAAAGGAAAGCGGAACUCAAAUUCAGCAUCGACCAGCAAUGUCAGAGACGAUUGAUCUGACCUACCUGAGCCUGUAAGGUCAUCAACUGUUUCUCCAAAUUUUUGCGGGCCACCUCAUCCUCCUCUUGCUGCUCCUGGAUGGCAUUCUUCUCCUCCUCUAACUGGCGCAUGCGGCUGCUGAGGUUCAGUUUUUGACGCGUCUCCUCUUGGAGCAGCUCCUACGAGAAAAUAUGAUCCAUCCUCUGGUCAAGUCACAUUUCAUUUUCCCAUCCAUAGUGAAAGUUAUGGUGGAGCACCUGUGUGUCUUGGAGCUGACUUUCCAGUCCAGCGACAUCUUUUGUCAUCUUGAUGCCUUUUCUCUCUGCAUCUUCCAACAUGGCGGACACAUUGUCGAGCUCAGUCUGAACGAAGAAAUGAUCCGUUUAUUGGUCGGAACGUCGAUUACGAAAUACCGAGACCUGGACGAAGCGACACAAUGAACUUCACCUGCAGUUUGUGCGCGCGUUCGGCCAGCUCGGCCUUGGUCCGCUCGCCUUCCGUGUUUCUGGCAGUGACCUCCUGCAGCUGAGACUCCAGUUUCUUCCUCUUGUGCUCUGACUCGGUUUUUGCUUGUUGAAGGCUUUUGACCUCGCAAGCCAUUUCCUUGUUGGCGCUCUCCUGGCUCUGCUUGGUCUUCUCGAGAUUAGCUUUGAACUACAGAGGAAACGUUAGUGUUCAAAUUUUUAAAAAUAUUUUUUAAAUAAAUGUUCAGGGAAGUCACCGCACCCUCUUGGCCUGUUCGAGCUGCUCGGAGAUCUCUUCCAAAGCAGAGGCAUGCCUCUGUCGCAUAUCCUGUAUCUGAGCCUCGUGGUUUUUGGACUCCUCCUCAAUGGCCUUCUUCAGCUCUGCAACUUCUUGCUCUCGCUUGGUCCUGAAUCGCACCAAAAAGUUGAAACCUUCUCCAUUUCUGACAAAUCCAGAAAGUGUUACCUUAGCUCCUGCUGAGCAGCCGUUGUAUCCAAGGUGUCUUCCAAUUCUGUCUUUAGGGCCUCCAGUUCUUCACUUAAAUCUCGCUUGAGCUUCUCAGCCUUGUUCCUUGCCUGUUUCUCCAACUCCAUGUCCUCCUGCAGCUCGGACAGUUGGGCCUGGAGCUCUCGCACUUGUUUCAGGGCGUUGUUCCUCUGGUUGACCUCAUCUUCACCCCUGCAAAACAUCAGGCAACAAUAUAUAUAUUCAAAUAUAUUUAACGUUCCAAACUUGUAAUAAUUACAAAUAUUGGACAAAUAAAAUACAAGAUAAAACUAGCAAAGAUAUUAGACAUUUUUUUAAAAUAAAAAAAAUGUAUAUUUAACAUCCAAACUCGUAAUAAUGACUAAUAUUGGACUAAUAAAAUAUAAGAUAAAACUAUUAACGAGCAUUUUUUUUUUUAAAUAAAAAGAAGUGUAUUCUGAUACGUCGCCACUGGGUGGCAGCAGAGACAAAGCUACUGUUCUACAUCAGCCACAUGUGCAUUCUUUUAUGAUGAGACUUUCGCUCCAAAUCCCUUCCCUAAACCACUUCAGUAGUUAUUUAUGGUGAAUAAGUGAGUCAUAUUGAUAAGUUGAAAAUUGCGUGGACAGCUUUAUGCAAGCCAUUUUCCCCCUUCCAAUUGUUUUGUCAGAAGCUUUUUGCAGUCGUUACAUACAGACAUAUCCUGAUGACGAGGUCACCAAUCACACAAUGACACAUUCCAAGAGAGGAAGAAUAGGAAAAUAAAUACUUUGUUGGGUUAGAACCAAGUUAUGAGACUUGAUGUGUAUUCUUAUCUAUACGCUGUCAGUCCAAUAAAAUGCAGCAGGUGAGACAUGUUAAAUAUGGCGACGGUGACCGCCAUCGUGACUCACUAUUAAACUUUAGCUCCGGCUCGGGUAAACAGUAUUUUGUCUUCAUGCCCUACCUUGCCUGAAGCGUUUGCUGCUCGUCCUCUUUCUUAACAAUUUGAGUUUUCAACUCCUCUAUCUGGGCCUGGAGCUCAGUGAUCUGGUCCUGAAAAUCUGUUGUUUCCCCAUCCAGCUUCCUCUUCGCCUUCUCCAGCUCCUGACGGGUCUUUUCUUCCUUUUUAAGCCUCUCUGGAUUAAACGUUGGACCAUGUUAGAAAGUGAUGAACUUCAUUGACAUGGCUAAGGUGGAGCUCCUUUACCUUCCAAGUCGACCAUCAUGAUCUCUUGCUUGUUCUUGACCUUUCCCAGGUUCUUAGCCUUCUCUUCUUCCUCUGCAAGGAAAAUGGUCAUCUCAUUGAUACGAUCCUCCAGUGACUUUUUUUCCUAAAAAAAAAAAAAGGACGUCUUAGGUUGCUUGUGUCAUCAAAAACCCUUUGAGCAUCUUUGCUGUCUCUCACCUUGACAAACUUUGUGUUUUGGUCCUCUAGCAGCAAAAUGUCCUCUUCAUAUUUUUUCAUUUUGGCUUCAGCCGUCACUUUCUCAAGCUGCAGCUUUUGUCGAGCUGCCUCCUCCUCAUCCAGUUGUUCCUCCAGGUCCUACCAAAUGUUUAUUUAGCAAAGUAGAAUAUAACAUUUUGGAGUAAAUAAAAAAAAAAAAAAAAAUGGACACGGCACAAUAUUUAAAGAGGAAUAUGAAAGAAAAAAAUAUUUUUAUUUCUGUAUUGUCACAGGCUUACCUGGAUAUGCGUUUGCAUCUUCUUCUUCUCGUUGACCAUGCCCUGUGCCCUCUCCUCUUCUUCCUCCAGCCUGGACUCAAGGUCAUGAAGAAUCUCCUCCAGUUCUUGUUUCUUAGUAGCCAGGCGAGCUCUCAUUUCCUCUGCCUCUGCAAAGAGCUCAGUCUCUGCCUGCAGCUGCUCUGCUAAGAUGGUUUUCUCCUCUGUUAACUACACAAAGACAAAACACUGAUUGAGCAGGGCAGAAAGUCGAAGUAUUAUUUACAUGAGCAUAUCUGACCUGCUGGUGUUUUUGUUCCAUCUCUACCAGCUGUCCCACCACUUUUGUAUGCUUCUCCUUCACUUUGACCAGCUCUUCAUCUUUAGCUUGCAUCUCCUCCUCUUGUCUGGUGACCUGCAGCAAGGGCUUCACCUGUAUUUGGAUUGGAAUAGAAAGUUGUCAUAUUGAAGUUCUCCAUGGGUCGUUAAAAAAAAACAAGAAACGCACCUUAGUGAAGAGUCUCCACCACUGCCAGUGACGAAGUUUCAAGUAGGCGGCACAAUUUCUUUGGAGAACCUUUAGCGCGCUGAGCUGUUGCUGCUUCUUGGCGAAGGCUCUGAAGCAACGCGCGAGAGAGGAUGAAACGUAGUGGCCAUGUGGUUGCCACAACUCAUCAAGCAGAAAGUGGAAGAGAUGCAACCCUUACUUGCGUGCUAAAUAGCCACGACAAGCAGCCUGGAAGUAAAUAAUAAUGUCCGUGAUCUUCAGGUCCCUCUCUUCCUCCAAGUGGGCCAGCACUCCCGCCCUGAAGAAGAUUUUACUCUGGCCGAUGCGAAACAGGUUGUUGUCAAGCUCCAGUGAUUUGAUCUACCAAAGAGGGAAAUAUUUGGAAAAAAAAGUUUGAGUCCACAAUUAAUAUCUACUGACAAGUUUGUAAUUGUCUGUUUGCUGACCAUUCUCUCGCAGGCCUGCUUGCCGUCCAUAAAGCCUUUGGGGAUGGCGUUAGGAGUGAGAAUCUCAUACCUGGACAAAUUGGAUUGAAUUAGCCACGCUAGCUCCAAUGGAACACAAGCGAUGAAACUGAAAGUAAAGUACCUCUGUCUGAACUCUUGAAAGACAAUACGGUUGGGGAAGCCUUGUCUGCAGAUACGGAUCCCUUCCAGGACUCCAUUACAUCUUAGCUGGUCCAGAACCAGGUGAGGAUCAAGUUUACCAGCCUGGAGGAAGCAGACAAACCAAUGCAUUAUUCAUUUGGAGCGGACAAAAUUGGGGUUGGUGUUCCUCAACGUGGCCAUCAGCUUGGACAGCUGCUCCUUGUAGAGCUGACCCACCGUGCGGAACAUGCCCUUCUUCGUUUUGUACGCGGCGCCGAAUGCCGUCUCGUUCAUGCCGGCAACUUGGUCCAGGCCGACGAUUCGGUCCACUGGUGAUGCCAAAUGUGACUUUGUUAGCAGGAAAUUGAGCAUCAAGCUGUUUCAUAUUAUGGUAUAAAUGCAGGAUAUUGUAUAAUGAAGAUGACAUGGA